rnacentral:rRNA from 1 species
GGGCCCGCGUUGGAUUAGCUAGUUGGGUGGGGUAAAGGCCUACCAAGGCGACGAUCCAUAGCUGGUCUGAGAGGAUGAUCAGCCACACUGGGACUGAGACACGGCCCAGACUCCUACGGGAGGCAGCAGGUGGGGAAUAUUGGACAAUGGGACGAAAGCCUGAUCCAGCAAUGCCGCGUGAGUGAUGAAGGCCUUCGGGUUGUAAAGCUCUUUUACUCGGGACGAUAAUGACGGUACCGAGAGAAUAAGCCCCGGCUAACUCCGUG